UUAAGUUCAGCGGGUAGUCCUACCUGAUCUGAGGUCAGAGUUACGAGAUGGGUGUUCUGUGGGCGGGACACGGACGGUGCUUAUGACGUCGCGUCCCGCUGAUGCAUUUGAGGCGGGCCGGGUGAGGCGGCGCCCAAGUCCGGCCCCGGGGGAAUAACCCUCGGGGUCGAAGUCCACAUGACACUCAGACAGGCAUGCCC
rnacentral:misc_RNA from 1 species